rnacentral:lncRNA from 1 species
AGGAAUGGAGUAAAUGCUGUGUAAAAGUGUAGGCUCAUAAGGUGGACAAGAGGAAAAAAGAAUUGGUAUUUAACUUAGGAUCUGAAGAGCAAAGAAUAUUUUAGGCUGAAGAAAUAAUAGCAAAAGAUGGGUAAAGAAGAAUACAAGUAGAUUUUGGGAUGUGUCUGCAAAUGCAAGUGUGGAAUACAUAGAAGAACACUAAAUAGGAAUCAACAGAAAGGAAGAGUAAAUUUUUAGGGUUGGACAACCUCUGUAGGCAUGCUGGACCACUCCUCAUGAUAGAAGUACCUGAAGCUGUUUCCAGGAUCAGCAGGUCUCUGCAGCUUUUCCUGAAGAUACAAGGUUGCUGAAUGGCCCAGAGUCUCCCUCUGUCACCCAGGCUGGAGUGCAGUGUUGCAAUCUCGGCUGCCCAGGCUGGAAGAUGAGGCUGAAAUUUCUAUGUAUUCCAGUGUUACACAUAUCAAUUUUUAUCCAGCUGUGUUGAGUGUUCUUUGCCUUCAGGAGUGGUUUACAGAGAGUAUUGCCAGUUGACAAGAAUAUGUAUUUUCCGAGGUAUUUAAGUUGGAGAUGAGCAAAGAACUCCAGUGUUCCCGAUAAAUAUGCCAAACUGCAGUGCUCUUUGUUGUGAUCAGCAUUUUUAAAGACACUGAGAAAAAGCAGCCAUCUAUGAUCCAGAAAAAUGGGAACUUACCAGACAUUGAAUCUGCCAGCACAUUGACCUUGGAUGUCCCAGUCUCCAGAACUAUGAUUAAUGUUGUUAUGGAAGCUGGAGGCUGAGAAGUCCCAUUAUCUGCCACCAGUACGAGCCAGAAUCCCAGGAAAACUCAUGGUAUAAUUUCAACCUGAAUCCAGAGGCCUGAGAACGAGGAGAGCCACUGAUAUAAAGAAUCCUAUACUGACAAAGAAGACUUCUUUAACACUGACAAAGAAGAUUCACCAGAAUUUAGGGCUCAAUGUUUCCAGCUUCAUCAAGGUCUUCCAACACAUCUCUGUGGCAAUUAUAGGAUAGCAUUUUUUUUUGCUCAAUAAGUACUCUCAUGUUAAAAUACACAUCUUGUGAGUCUG